rnacentral:rRNA from 1 species
AGGUUGACCUCGGAUCAGGUAGGGAUACCCGCUGAACUUAAGCAUAUCAAUAAGCGGAGGAAAAGAAACCAACAGGGGAUUGCCUCAGUAACGGCGAGUGAAGCGGCAAGAGCUCAAAUUUGAAAUCUGGCCCUUUCAGGGUCCGAGUUGUAAUUUGAAGAGGAUGCUUCGGCGGCGGCGCCGGUCUAAGUUCCUUGGAACAGGACGUCGCAGAGGGUGAGAACCCCGUACGUGGUCGGCGGCCAACGCCAAAGGAAGCUCCUUCGACGAGUCGAGUUGUUUGGGAAUGCAGCUCUAAAUGGGAGGUAAAUUUCUUCUAAAGCUAAAUACCGGCCAGAGACCGAUAGCGCACAAGUAGAGUGAUCGAAAGAUGAAAAGCACUUUGGAAAGAGAGUUAAAAAGUACGUGAAAUUGUUGAAAGGGAAGCGCUUGCAACCAGACUUGCCCGCGGUUGCUUAGCCGGUCUUCUGACCGGUGCACUCUUCCGCGGUCAGGCCAGCAUCAGUUUGGGCGGUCGGAUAAAGGCCGAGGGAAUGUAGCUCCUCUCGGGGAGUGUUAUAGCCCUCGGCGGCAUGCGGCCAGCCUGGACUGAGGUCCGCGCUCCGGCUAGGAUGCUGGCGUAAUGGUUGUAAGCGGCCCGUCUUGAAACACGGACCAAGGAGUCUAACAUCUGUGCGAGUGUUUGGGUGUAAAACCCAUGCGCGUAAUGAAAGUGA